CCUACGGGAGGCAGCAGUGGGGAAUAUUGGACAAUGGGGGCAACCCUGAUCCAGCCAUGCCGCGUGUGUGAAGAAGGCCCUCGGGUUGUAAAGCACUUUCAGUGAGGAAGAACGCCUGGUGGUUAAUACCCAUCAGGAAAGACAUCACUCACAGAAGAAGCACCGGCUAACUCCGUGCCAGCAGCCGCGGUAAUACGGAGGGUGCGAGCGUUAAUCGGAAUUACUGGGCGUAAAGCGCGCGUAGGUGGCUUGAUAAGCCGGUUGUGAAAGCCCCGGGCUCAACCUGGGAACGGCAUCCGGAACUGUCAAGCUAGAGUGCAGGAGAGGAAGGUAGAAUUCCUAGUGUAGCGGUGAAAUGCGUAGAGAUCGGGAGGAAUACCAGUGGCGAAGGCGGCCUUCUGGACUGACACUGACACUGAGGUGCGAAAGCGUGGGUAGCAAACAGGAUUAGAUACCCCAGUAGUC
rnacentral:rRNA from 1 species